AAGAAUCUGAAUUUGAACUAAUACAAAGAGAGCAGACGUUGCAAUACCCUCCUAAGCCUCCUAAAACAAGAAACUGGCGGGGAAAUUUGGUGGCCCCUUUUGCUGGAAAUAACAUGCUAGUCCUUUACAGCUGCACGUCAGACAACUCAAGCAAGUAUUUUGUUAGAGUGCUCCACAAUGAACGGCCCAUUCCAAUACCAGGUUGCAAUGGCUCGGAUUCAUGCCCAUUUGAAGUAUUUAAGGAAAGAAUAGCUGCUCCUCACUUGAAACAUGACUACAAUUCUCUUUGCAAUGUGAAUUCAGAACAAGAAAAGAA
rnacentral:misc_RNA from 1 species